rnacentral:rRNA from 1 species
UACGAAGGGGGCUAGCGUUGCUCGGAAUCACUGGGCGUAAAGCGCACGUAGGCGGCUUUCUAAGUCAGGGGUGAAAUCCCGGAGCUCAACUCCGGAACUGCCUUUGAUACUGGAGAGCUUGAGUUCGGGAGAGGUGAGUGGAACUGCGAGUGUAGAGGUGAAAUUCGUAGAUAUUCGCAAGAACACCAGUGGCGAAGGCGGCUCACUGGCCCGAUACUGACGCUGAGGUGCGAAAGCGUGGGGAGCAA